UUGAGUUAAUAACUUUGGUAUUAAAACAAAUGUGUGUAAUUAACAUUUUCAAUUAAAUCAAGUUGAUUACAUUUUUCCUUAAUCUCAAGUUACUGCUACAGUAGCAACUAACAUUAGAAAUUAGGUUAUUUGAAUAACCCUAAUUUCUUCCCCUCUUUGCGAUUUCUUCACUUCCGGCGAGCAUCACCUGCCGACUCCGGUACAGCUCUUCCUCACGGCUAAAGAAGGAAGUGCAAACCCGGCCAUAUUUUAACAUAUGUAACAAAAUCUACCAAACAAUACUUUUCCAAUAAUAUCUUCAAGCUUGCUUCCUUCAUUGCUUUUUGUUCUCACUUUAUUAAAAUCUGUAAUUUCUCUAGGAACUAAAAAAAGUCUAAAGGACAGCAAUUUUUAAAUAUAAUACUAUAAAUGUGUUAAAUUCCGGCGUGGAUGGACAAUUGAUGAUGGCCGAAUCGAACUGCCGAAGUGGACGGCGGUGAGAUUUGGGAGAAGUUGUUGUCGUUGUGUGAAGAAUGAAUAGUGGAGGAAAAAUAGUAU
rnacentral:lncRNA from 1 species